rnacentral:rRNA from 1 species
ACUCAAAUGAAUUGACGGGGGCCCGCACAAGCGGUGGAGCAUGUGGUUCAAUUCGAAGCAACGCGAAGAACCUUACCAGCUUUUGACAUGUCCAGUAUGGUCGCUAGAGAUAGCUUCCUUCCCGCAAGGGGCUGGAACACAGGUGCUGCAUGGCUGUCGUCAGCUCGUGUCGUGAGAUGUUGGGUUAAGUCCCGCAACGAGCGCAACCCUCGCCCUUAGUUGCCAUCAUUUAGUUGGGCACUCUAGGGGGACUGCCGGUGAUAAGCCGCGAGGAAGGUGGGGAUGACGUCAAGUCCUCAUGGCCCUUACAGGCUGGGCUACACACGUGCUACAAUGGCGGUGACAAUGGGAUGCAAUGGCGCAAGCCUGCGCAAAUCUCAAAAAGCCGUCUCAGUUCGGAUUGGGGUCUGCAACUCGACCCCAUGAAGUUGGAAUCGCUAGUAAUCGCAGAUCAGCACGCUGCGGUGAAUACGUUCCCGGGCCUUGUACACACCGCCCGU